AACAUCUCAAAUCUCUACUUUAUUGUAAAGAAUUGGACUUGAGCAAUCCCAACUCCUUCGUCAGAAAGAGAAGGGUUGCUUGAAAUGCAGGUGCAGCUGGGCAUUCUUCUGAGCUAAAAGCAUAUUUAUUUAGUCCCGUCAAACGGAUUAUUAUUCUUGCUUCAGCUUACAUAAAGGUUGAAUGACUACCAAGGCUGAUUGCAGGUAAACUCGUUCCGUAAAAAAGAACUUGUAA
rnacentral:misc_RNA from 1 species